GACGAACGCUGGCGGCGUGCCUAAUACAUGCAAGUCGAGCGGUCUUUUCUAUGGAAGCUUGCUUCCACUGAGAAGAUAGUGGCGAACGGGUGAGUAACACGUGGGUAACCUGCCCAUAAGAGGGGGAUAACAUCCGGAAACGGGUGCUAAUACCGCAUAAGUUUCUUGAUCGCAUGAUCGAGAAAGGAAAGACGGCCUUUGUGCUUUCGCUGAUGGAUGGACCAGCGGCGUAUUAGUUAGUUGGUGAGGUAACGGCUCACCAAGACGAUGAUACGUAGCCGACCUGAGAGGGUGAUCGGCCACAUUGGGACUGAGACACGGCCCAAACUCUUACGGGAGGCAGCAGUAGGGAAUCUUCCGCAAUGGACGAAAGUCUGACGGAGCAACGCCGCGUGAGUGAAGAAGGUUUUCGGAUCGUAAAACUCUGUUGUCAGAGAAGAACAAGUCGGAGAGUAACUGCUCCGGCCUUGACGGUAUCUGACCAGAAAGCCACGGCUAACUACGUGCCAGCAGCCGCAGUAACAC
rnacentral:rRNA from 1 species